GACGAACGCUGGCGGCGUGCCUAAUACAUGCAAGUAGAACGCUGAAGCGAGGAGCUUACUCUUCUUGGAUGAGUUGCGAACGGGUGAGUAACGCGUAGGUAACCUGCCUUGUAGCGGGGGAUAACUAUUGGAAACGAUAGCUAAUACCGCAUAACAAUGGAUGACACAUGUCAUUUAUUUGAAAGGGGCAAUUGCUCCACUACAAGAUGGACCCGCGUUGUAUUAGCUAGUAGGUGAGGUAAUGGCUCACCUAGGCGACGAUACAUAGCCGACCUGAGAGGGUGAUCGGCCACACUGGGACUGAGACACGGCCCAGACUCCUACGGGAGGCAGCAGUAGGGAAUCGUCGGCAAUGGGGGCAACCCUGACCGAGCAACGCCGCGUGAGUGAAGAAGGUUUUCGGAUCGUAAAGCUCUGUUGUAAGUCAAGAACGGGUGUGAGAGUGGAAAGUUCACACUGUGACGGUAGCUUACCAGAAAGGGACGGCUAACUACGUG
rnacentral:rRNA from 1 species